rnacentral:rRNA from 1 species
GAUGAACGCUGGCGGCGUGCCUAAUACAUGCAAGUCGAGCGAAUGGAUUGAGAGCUUGCUCUUAUGAAGUUAGCGGCGGACGGGUGAGUAACACGUGGGUAACCUGCCCAUAAGACUGGGAUAACUCCGGGAAACUGGGGCUAAUACCGGAUAACAUUUUGAACCGCAUGGUUCGAAAUUGAAAGGCGGCUUCGGCUGUCACUUAUGGAUGGACCCGCGUCGCAUUAGCUAGUUGGUGAGGUAACGGCUCACCAAGGCAACGAUGCGUAGCCGACCUGAGAGGGUGAUCGGCCACACUGGGACUGAGACACGGCCCAGACUCCUACGGGAGGCAGCAGUAGGGAAUCUUCCGCAAUGGACGAAAGUCUGACGGAGCAACGCCGCGUGAGUGAUGAAGGCUUUCGGGUCGUAAAACUCUGUUGUUAGGGAAGAACAAGUGCUAGUUGAAUAAGCUGGCACCUUGACGGUACCUAACCAGAAAGCCACGGCCAACUACGUGCCAGCCGCCGCGGUAA